rnacentral:rRNA from 1 species
UACGGGGGGGGUAAGCGUUGUUCGGAAUUACUGGGCGUAAAGGGCUCGUAGGCGGCCAACUAAGUCAGACGUGAAAUCCCUCAGCUUAACUGGGGAACUGCGUCUGAUACUGGAUGGCUUGGAUUUGGGAGAGGGAUGCGGAAUUCCAGGUGUAGCGGUGAAAUGCGUAGAUAUCUGGAGGAACACCGGUGGCGAAGGCGGCAUCCUGGACCGGUAUUGACGCUGAGGAGCGAAAGCCAGGGGAGCAAACGGG